ensembl:lncRNA
CUAACAAUGAAAAUGUGCUUUCAGGCGUGAAAGAAAUGCUCUCUUCUAAAUUCCAAAUGAAAGAUCUGGGGAAACUUAACCAUUUUCUAGGAAUAGAUUUUCUUCAAGAAAAAGAAUGUGUCAAAAUGUCACAGAAAAUAUAUAUUGAAAACAUUUUAAAAAGAUUUAACAUGCAAAACUGUAAGCCAAGGUUAACACCCUGUGAACAGAAAUGGACUCAUUCUGAUAAAUUCGAGACAUUACCAGAUGUGAGGAGAUAUCGUGAAGCGGUAGGAUGUCUUAUUUAUCUGAGCUAUUGUACGCGACCUGAUUUAAGCUAUGUUGUUAGCAAAUUGUCACAACACUUCAAUGCGCCAACCGUUGAUGAUUGGACAGCAGUGAAACAUGUUCUGAGGUAUCUAAAAGGUAGUCGAGGAAAAGAACUGUGUUUUAGGAAAUGUUCAAGUGGAAAACUAGGUCUACAAGCAUAUAGUGAUGCAGAUUGGGCAUCCGAUGUUUCUGAUAGACGCAGUAUGACAGGUUAUUGUGUAAGCCUAAAUGAAAAUGGUCCUUUGAUAUCAUGGAAAACCAAAAAGCAGACAACUACAGCACUAUCAACUUGUGAAGCCGAAUACAUGGCAUUAGCAGCAACAAUUCAGGAAUGUAUGUAUUUGACUUAUUUGAUUCGAGAUCUUGAUGAAUUUAAGUAUGAAGUACCUAUGAUAUGGGAGGACAAUCAGGGAACAAUCGCUUUGUCAAAAAAUCCAGUGAACAGACAAAGAUGUAAACACAUUGAUGUGAAAUAUCAUUUUAUAAGGUCAGCUGUACAUGAAAGGAAAGUGCUCAUUGAUUACUGUCCAACUGAGUCAAUGGUAGCAGAUAUGAUGACGAAACCAGUUUCAAAGUCUAAGUUAGACAAAUUCUCUGUAUUUGUGUUUGGAAUGUAAGAUGUUUUUUUCCGGAGGACUGUUUUUCCCCAACCUGUCUACAAGUGGGGGUGUUGGAUUGUGUGUCCACAGGUGUUUGUACUUUGCGUCACAAUAAAAAUGACGGUAAAAGGCUCCGCCCACCACCUAUCCAUGUCUCGCCAUGCAACGACUUUGUAGAUGGACUGGAGAUGUGUAGUGGAAGAGUCCUCCGUCAGGAAUGAGAUAUGUGUGUUGACUUUUUAUUCUCCCUCAAAAUUAUUAUGCCAUAACGCUGCCCAGAGCAGCUCUGCUAACAGAAAAACUCAAAAACCGGGAAUCCCCGGCAGCCUACGUCUAUUGCAGCAUAACUGAGGGAGGAUUCAGGGUCACCUGGUCCAGCCCUAACUAUAUGCUUUAGCAAAAAGGAAAGUUUUAAGCCUAAUCUUGAAAGUAGAGAUAGUGUCUGCACUCAAAAAAAUCAACUAGGGCAUGUGUUUGAUUAACACUCAUUAAAUGAUUCAUUCUUUUUAGUUGAAUAUGAAUCAGAGAAAAACUUUGAUGAGUUAAAUUCGUUCAUGACAAUCCAAUGAGAAUGAGGUCCAUCAAACCAACAGCUCUGAUAGUGUCAUGUAUUGCGCAUGCUCCACGCCCACCGGAUGCGGAAAGGUCCGUUGAGACGUUAACGAGCGCACGUGGAGUUACUUCUUUGGCAUACCUGAUAGUGAGGUAAGUAAUUCACAUAUUGCUUGAUAUAUUUAUUUAGGUUAGUGGUGUGAGAGAUAAAUACUAGUAGUUAAAAAUUUUUUACCUGUGUAGUGUGGUGACUUAGAGGAGCUUUAUAUAUAGCAGGGAGUGUGUAGAGCCAAACAUUUUUCAAAUGUAAGUGGGUGAAUUUGAUUUUUUUUUUUUUUAACUUAACCAGAGUCGCUAAUUGUUGCAACAGAGCAAAAACUGAUGAGGCUAUUUUGGUAAGUUCGUUUUUUUUGUUUCUGUCAACUUUGAAUGAGGUGUGUGUCAUGGUUAUCUGCGUGGUUAGGACUGUUUUUUUUUCUCUGGAGUUAGCUAACUUUGAAGAACGGGAAAGCCGCGUAGAGUGGUAUUGUCUUCGCAUAUAGCUCCGUGAAUGACGGGUUACUUUCUGCUUAACCAGAGUUGGUGAUUGUUGGUAGCAGUGGUAAGACUGACCGACAUGGUUUUGGUGAUUUUAUGAGUGUUUUAUGAUGCUCUAUCUAAAAUUCCUGUUUUUGUCAGUGGAGUUUAGUGGCGGGCAACCGCAUUAACUGGAUUGAUGAAAGGUUAAAUUCAACUAAACCAGCGUUUAGGGGAGUUAAUAACAAGAAGUAAGAUAAAAUCUGUCACAAUAAUUGCAUGUGCAUUUUCUUUUUUUGUAAUAUAUUCACUUAGUUUUUGAAUUCGUUAUUAUUUAGGUGGAUAAUUGUUUGGGUUAUAGUUUCUCUGGUGCUCUGCAUUAAGGCUGACGGUGCGUUCACACCGAAUGCGAUAGACGCCCCUAGGUGAUCAUGUGCACAUUCGCGUGUUUUUUAGGAACCUUGCCACAACCAGUGUGAACUGGUUUUAAAAUAUGCAAUUUUCACGCGCAUGAAGCAGAGAUCUGGGAAGAAGUAGUGCCAGACUAUGUUAUUAAAAUGGCAGCUGUCAAUCUAGCGUUUGAAGAAAGAGUCUCCCUUCUCUAUUUGCUGUGGAGAGCAGAGCAGUGCAUAAAGGACGUCCUCACCGUACCUGUGUCCAUCAGGUCCUCCACAAGCGUGAGCAGUUUGGUGAGUUUCACCACUUGCUCAAGGAGCUGCGUCUGGAUGACGGCCGCUUUCAGCUGUACCACCUUCUGUCCCUUGCCGAGUUUGAGGAGCUGCUGUCCCGCAGAUUUUACCAGCUCGAGCGGUAGACGUGAUAAGCGCGAAUGCACAAAAUGCACCACACAAACUGCAGCGCGUAUUUUACUUUGCGCUUCAAAGGUGUCAGUCAUGUGAAUUGCGGUCUCUGCGAUCUCUGAAAUUAAUGAUAAAGGAACUUUAAAGGUCAUAUACUUGGAUAGUGUGCAGUUGCAAAGUUUUACAGAAGAUGGAGUGACAUGUCAACCAGUGCGAAGUCCAACACAUUCCUUUUCAAGCUCUUCAGCAGACACAGACAAUAUAAGGUCCGUUUCAUCGUCAGGUUCAUCACCGUCUACAAGACUGUCAGUGUGGCCAAGUGUCUUCACAGUCCCUCGUUUCAGCUAUGAGGCUGAACUGCAACUUGAAAAGGCCAAUGCGGAGUUCAUUCCUGGUGGAACUCAUUUGACCCCCUCACCAAAACUGAAAUCCCACCUUUUAGAAAGGCUGGCUUAAGAAAUAAUAAAAUUUAAAGUCUAUCCAACUGACAAUGACCUGAAUGAAGUUGCAGAAGUCCUUGUCAAACAGCAUCCUUGUCUGAGGGAGCAGGGAUACUUCAAUGGCUGUUAUGGUUGGAAAAUUAGUCUCAAGUAUAAAAUGGCCAAUGUCCGGACCAAACUGAGAGGCCUGGGCUGUGCUGAGGUGUUGGUAAAUUCACUAAAGAACAAGGCCCAAGACAAAAGUCAGGCAGCAUUGAAUGUGAAAAAGCCUAGAAGAGCAGAAGUCAAUUGCUGUCCGCAGUAUCCAAAAGGAGAAACCACUGACAGCCUGGAAAAAGAGAGAAUUGCACUGCUUUCAGAGGUUCAGAAGAGAAACGAUGACAAUAUAGUGACAAUGAAAAUGCAGAAGACUUUUUCGUACAGAAGGCAAGAAGUUUUUCAAGGACAGCCCUUCAUUGCAGAUUUUAAAAGCAGAUGGCCAGCUCUGUUCACCGAGAAAGAGGUGCAUGUCCUAUAUGUCUAGCUUUAUGUCGCAAGAGUGUGUUUAUGGUUGACCAGUUAUUUCUUGCUUCACUAAUAUUGACAUAACAUAGUGAUAAAACAGCUAAUAAUUCCUGGUAUGUUCUUCCUCUGGUGCAUAUUGUAAGUGCAUUGUUCAUGUUUUUCAGAUUGACAAGGAAUUCCUGCGCAUAUCGACAGUACCGCUGCUAUCUAGAUUCUUUUAUGAGCUAGACUUGUACACUCCACGCAUGAUGGAGCUCUUUCGAGGCAAAGGUGGGGUGGCUGGCAGAAAAAUGAGACACAUCAUGGUGGCCAUCUCCAAGGAUGACACAAUACAUACAAGGCGAGCAUGCAUCCUGAAGUCCUUGUGUUCACCUGAACGAAGACCAUGAGAAACUUGUGAAGGAAUAUAUGAACACUGAGGCCAACACUGAAGCCAUGGAACAAACUGUGAUGGGAGUGUACGUCAUACAGCAGGAGGGUGCGGAGCCUGGAGAUGACCCAGAGAACAUCGGUGUCCUGAUUGGAGGCGUUGAGGUUCUCACUGGUUUGAGGAGCAUUGCAAUUGCUUGUGCUCUGUUAUUUGGACUGAUAUACUGUCUGAACCUAAGCUACCCACCGGAGCUCAAAUGCACUUUUGAAGUCUUGCAAAAGAUUAUCAUGAAGCUGGAUGGGCAGAGGUUGUCAUCCAAGGCACAGUUACUAAAAAAACAAGCUAAUGGGGUGAAUGAGCUUGAAACAGACUCAGGCAAGCCAGAUAUUUUUUUCAAGAUUUCUGCAAUGCAAAUAUGUGUUUACCGUUUUAAAGUUUAAAAUUGUAAGUUAUAAAAUGUUCAUAUAAACUAUGUGGUUUGCUCUGUGGCUAUUAGACAAAGAUUGUUCGUUCAUAACUUAAAGUCUUAUACACUUGAAGUGUAAACACUGAUUUUUGCCAGAUGGGCAAUUGUUACAAAGGCAAAUGCACACUGGUUUUCGCAAAUUGUUUGAGUGGAGCAGUUAUACUCAAAAUUGAAUGUUUUCUCCACACGUUAAAUAGCAUAAAGUCACUAUUAAUAGAUACAGCCUGAUUAAAUGGAGGACUAAUGUAUGAAAGCAACAUAGUAAUGUUGUAAUGUUAUAGUAAUGUUGAAUGUUAUGUCUGAGCUUUAAAUUGUGUUAAAAUUCAUAUUGUUGUUUGCAAUGCAUAUUUUACUACAUUUUAAGAAAGUUGCUUUGGGGAUAAUAUUUUUUGUCUGCAAACUAUUCAACAGACUUAUUUCAUUUUUUAUUAUUAGGGUUAUUUUAUUGUAUUUUUUCUUUUAGUCAGAAUGUCUUGAUCUGGAAGUUCUGUGGUCUUAGUAUGAGAUGGUUGAAGGGGAGAAAGCUAGGCUGAACUGGGAUCCUGCCAACUGUUUUAAGAAUGUUCAAGCAAAAUAAAAGAGAUGGUUUUGCAAGUUAUCAUUUAUGUAUGUUUCGUUAAUUUAAUUAAAAGUAAUGUUUACAUAAGCAAUACAAACAUGAUUGGUGUAAGUACUACAGACAUAAAUUACAUUUGUUCAUUCAACAAGAUUAACAUUGGUGUAACAAACAAAUAUUUUACUAGUUCAUGUAACAAGACUGACUUUUGAUGUGCCAAAGUGUUUAAAC